GGGUGUGUAGGCGGUUUGUUUUAAAGUUUGGUGUGAAAAUCUCCCCGGCUCAACUGGGAGGGUGCGCCGAAAUACUGAAUGACUAGAGUGCGGGAGAGGAAAGUGGAAUUCCUGGUGUAGCGGUGAAAUGCGUAGAUAUCAGGAGGAACACCGGUGGUGUAGACGGCUUUCUGGACCGUAACUGACGCUGAGACACGAAAGCGUGGGUAGCAAACAGGAUUAGAUAUCCUGGUAGUCCACGCCCUAAACGAUGCAUAUUUGGUGUGGGCAGUUCAUUCUGUCCGUGCCGGAGCUAACGCGUUAAAUAUGCCGCCUGGGGAGUACAGUCGCAAGGCUGAAACUCAAAGGAAUUGACGGGGGCCCGCACAAGCGGUGGAGCAUGUGGUUCAAUUCGACGCAACGCGAAGAACCUUACCUGGGCUCGAACGGCUUCUCAACGCCGGUAGAAAUAUCGGUACCCCGCAAGGGGGUGGAGUCGAGGUGCUGCAUGGCUGUCGUCAGCUCGUGUCGUGAGAUGUUGGGUUAAGUCCCGCAACGAGCGCAACCCUUGUCCUGUGUUGCCAUGCCGAAAGGCGGAACUCGCAGGAGACCGCCAGCGAUAAGCUGGAGGAAGGUGGGGAUGACGUCAAGUCCUCAUGGCCUUUAUGUCCAGGGCUACACACGUGCUACAAUGGCCGGUACAAACCGCCGCAAACCCGCGAGGGGGAGCCAAUCGGAAAAAACCGGUCUCAGUUCGGAUUGCAGGCUGCAACUCGCCUGCAUGAAGCUGGAAUCGCUAGUAAUGGCAGAUCAGCACGCUGCCGUGAAUACGUUCCCGGGCCUUGUACACACCGCCCGUA
rnacentral:rRNA from 1 species